GCUAGGUGUGGUGGUGCACAUCUGUAGUCCCAGCUACUCAGGAGGCUGAGGCAGGAGAAUCACUUGAGCCGAGGAGUCUGAAACUGCAGUGAGCCAAGAUCGUGUCACUGCACUCCAGCCUGGGCAACAGAGUGAGACCCUGUCUCUA
ensembl:misc_RNA Metazoa_SRP Metazoan signal recognition particle RNA